rnacentral:rRNA from 1 species
UACGUAGGGAGCAAGCGUUGUCCGGAAUCAUUGGGCGUAAAGCGCACGUAGGCGGCUUGCCAAGUCGGACGUGAAAUCCCUCAGCUCAACUGAGGACGUGCAUCCGAAACUGGCGAGCUUGAGUACUGAAGAGGAUCGCGGAAUUCCCGGUGUAGAGGUGAAAUUCGUAGAUAUCGGGAGGAACACCAGUGGCGAAGGCGGCGAUCUGGGCAGAUACUGACGCUGAGGUGCGAAAGCGUGGGGAGCAAACAGG